AGCGAACGUUAGCGGCGCGCCUAACACAUGCAAGUCGCACGAGAAACGGAGCAAUCCGCGGUACAGUGGCGCACGGGUGAGUAACACGUGGAUGACCUUCCCUGGAGUGGUGGAUAACCUGCCGAAAGGCGGGCUAAUACAGCAUGGGACCACGACGCUUUGGCGAUGUGGUGAAAGCGGGCCUCUAUAUAUAAGCUCGCGCUCCGGGACGGGUCCGCGUCCCAUCAGCUAGUUGGUGAGGUAACGGCUCACCAAGGCAACGACGGGUAGCUGGUCUGAGAGGAUGGCCAGCCACACUGGAACUGAGACACGGUCCAGACUCCUACGGGAGGCAGCAGUGGGGAAUCUUGCGCAAUG
rnacentral:rRNA from 1 species